GCGGUGAGCCGUGACUGGCGCGCUGGGAUGGAUUUCACCAUCGGGGAGCGGCUCCGCACGGAACCUUCGGGUUCCGACGUGCUGUAGCCGAGCGCCUGGGCCGUCCGA
rfam:Kitasatospora griseola strain MF730-N6 RKJC_1, whole genome shotgun sequence.